GCCGUCUGAAAUUAGUCCCUCCCGUAAAAUCUAAGUCCUCGCGUUUGAAAAGUGUGUGAAAAUUAGUCCUCUGGCGAGGACCUGCUACACACACUUUUUCAAACUCGAGGACUUAGAUUUUACGGGAGGGACUAAUUUCAGACGGC
rnacentral:pre_miRNA from 1 species